rnacentral:lncRNA from 1 species
UUAAGGGGAGAUAAUCAAUCCAAAUGACUUUACAAGGGUGAAUGAUAAAGAUUUGUUUUAUACUGUCAGGUUUGAGGUAACAGUAAGUUAUACCUUGUGUAUAAUGUAUUAAGGGGAGAUAAUCAAUUGAAAUGACUUCAUAGGUGGUGAACAAUAAAGAUUUGUUUUAUACUGUCAGGUUUGAGGUAAUGGUAGGUUAUACUUUGUGUAUAAUGUAUUAAGGGGGAGAUAAUCAAUCCAAAUGACUUCAUAGGUGGUGAACAAUAAAGAUUUGUUUUAUACUGUAAUGUUUGAGGUAAUGGUAGGUUAUACUUUGUGUAUAAUGUAUUAAGGGGAGAUAAUCAAUCCAAUUCACUUCAUAGGGGGUGAACAAAAAGAUUGGUUUUAUACUGUAAUGUUUGAGGUAAUGGUAGGUUAUACUUUGUUUAUAAUGUAUUAAGGGGAGAUAAUCAAUUGAAAUGACUUGAUGGGGGUGACAAAAAAAAAUUGUUUUAUACUGUCAGGUUUGAGGUAACGGUGGGUUAUACUUUGUAUAUAAUGUAUUAAGGGGAGAUAAUCAAUCCAAAUGACUUCAUAGGGGGUGAACAAAGAUUGUUUUAUACUGUCAGGUUUGAGGUAAUGGUAGGUUAUACUUUGUGUAUAAUGUUUUAAGGGAGAUAAUCAAUCCAAAUGACUUUAUACGGGGUGAACGAUAAAGAUUUGUUUUUUACUGUCAGGUUUGAGGUAACAGUAAGUUAUACCUUGUGUAUAAUGUAUUAAGG